rnacentral:rRNA from 1 species
AUUGAACGCUGGCGGCAUGCCUUACACAUGCAAGUCGAACGCGAAAGUGGGGGCAACCCUGCGAGUAGAGUGGCGAACGGGUGAGUAACACAUCGGAACGUACCCAGGAGUGGGGGACAACCUCGAGAAAUCGAGGCUAAUACCGCAUACGUCCUGAGGGAGAAAGCGGGGGAUCCGUAAGGACCUCGCGCUCAUGGAGCGGCCGAUGUCGGAUUAGCUAGUUGGCGGGGUAAAAGCCCACCAAGGCUACGAUCCGUAGCUGGUUUGAGAGAACGACCAGCCACACUGGGACUGAGACACGGCCCAGACUCCUACGGGUGGCUG